rnacentral:rRNA from 1 species
UACGUAGGAGACGAGCGUUGUCCGGAGUUACUGGGCGUAAAGGGUGCGCAGGUGGCGGCGCGCGUGGGGGGUGAAAUCGCCCGGCUUAACUGGGCGGGGGCCUUCCAGACGGCGUGGCUUGAGCAGCGGAGGGGGACGUGGAAUUCCGGGUGGAGCGGUGAAAUGCGUAGAGAUCCGGAGGAACACCUGUGGCGAAGGCGGCCCCCUGGGCCGCACCUGACGCUGAGACGCGAAAGCGCGGGGAGCGAACGGG